UAAAUCUUCAACUACGCGGAAGA
rnacentral:snRNA from 1 species